CCAUCAGUAGCUCAAUGGACCAGAGCGCCUCGCUACGAACGAGGAGGUUGGGAGUUCGAGUCUCUCCUGGUGGU
rnacentral:tRNA from 1 species